rnacentral:rRNA from 1 species
CCUACGGGUGGCAGCAGUGGGGAAUAUUGCACAAUGGGCGAAAGCCUGAUGCAGCAACGCCGCGUGAGCGAUGAAGGCCCUCGGGUCGGAAAGCCCUGUCCUCAAGGAAGAUAAUGACGGGACUCGAGGAGGAAGCCCCGGCUAACUACGUGCCAGCAGCCGCGGCAAUACGUAGGGGGCUAGCGUUAUCCGGAGUUACUGGGCGUAAAGGGUGCGUAGGUGGUUUCUUAAGUCAGGGGGGAAAGGCUACGGCUCAACCGUAGUAAGCCUUUGAAACUGGGGAACUUGAGUGCAGGAGAGGAGAGUGGAAUUCCUAGUGUAGCGGUGAAAUGCGUAGAUAUUAGGAGGAACCCCAGUUGCGAAGGCGGCUCUCUGGACUGUAACUGACGCUGAGGCACGAAAGCGUGGGGAGCGAACAGGAUUAGAUACCCCUGUAGUC